UUUGCCGGCUCCCGAGCCGCCAGACGCUCGGAGGGAGCCCGGCCGGCUCGUAUUGGGCGGCCGGGAGGGAGGGCGCCCCGGGUCACGACGGCGCCCGCAAGCCGAGCGCGGCCGGGACGUGCACCAUGGACCCAAAGGCGGGCGGCGGCGGCGAGGAGGACGACUGCGUGGACUCGGGCGCCGAGACCGGAGGAUUCUCAAAGUAGCUGGUGAUCUAUUCCAAACCAAGUUUGGGCAAGGUAUGAGACAUUUCAUUUUCAACACACUGUGUCUGAGGUGUUGCAAGACAUCCAGGUAAAGAUGAUGAAUCAGCAGUUGGGUAUAUUUGUCUGAAACUCAGAAGGGAGGUCUGCACAAUGACAUUGCAUUUGGGUACUAAAAAUGGCAAUGGAAGCUCUGGGAGAGACUAAAUCAACUGAAGAUAAGGAAAUGGAGACUCAGAGGGCACAUGGCUCGUUAGAGGCAUGAAUUGAAGCCUGGAUCUCCAGUGUGCUUCCCACCUAGUGAAGCUGCGUCUCCAGGAGCUGUUUGAUCUGUAAUUAAUUCUUGUUUUCUGCUCAGACAUUUUCUUUUGCUUGAAAUGCUGCUGCUGCUGUCUCACCCA
rnacentral:sRNA from 1 species